AGAGUUUGAUCCUGGCUCAGAUUGAACGCUGGCGGCAGGCCUAACACAUGCAAGUCGAGCGGAAACGGCAGCAUUGAAGCUUCGGUGGAUUUGCUGGACGUCGAGCGGCGGACGGGUGAGUAACGGCUGGGAACCUGCCCUGACGAGGGGGAUAACCGUUGGAAACGACGGCUAAUACCGCAUAAUGUCUUAGUUCAUUACGAGCUGGGACCAAAGGUGGCCUCUACAUGUAAGCUAUCGCGUUGGGAUGGGCCCAGUUAGGAUUAGCUAGUUGGUAAGGUAAUGGCUUACCAAGGCGACGAUCCUUAGCUGGUUUGAGAGGAUGAUCAGCCACACUGGGACUGAGACACGGCCCAGACUCCUACGGGAGGCAGCAGUGGGGAAUAUUGCACAAUGGGGGAGACCCUGAUGCAGCCAUGCCGCGUGUGUGAAGAAGGCCUUCGGGUUGUAAAGCACUUUCAGCAGUGAGGAAGGUGGUGUACUUAAUAAGUGCAUGGCUUGACGUUAGCUGCAGAAGAAGCACCGGCUAACUCCGUGCCAGCAGCCGCGGUAAUACGGAGGGUGCGAGCGUUAAUCGGAAUUACUGGGCGUAAAGCGCAUGCAGGCGGUUUGUUAAGUCAGAUGUGAAAGCCCGGGGCUCAACCUCGGAACCGCAUUUGAAACUGGCAGGCUAGAGUCUUGUAGAGGGGGGUAGAAUUUCAGGUGUAGCGGUGAAAUGCGUAGAGAUCUGAAGGAAUACCAGUGGCGAA
rnacentral:rRNA from 1 species